rnacentral:rRNA from 1 species
CCAAUACUGCGGGGCUAGNGAUGUCAGAGAAGGUGAAUUCCUGGUGUAGUGNUGAAAUGCGUAGAUAUCAGGAGGAACACCCGUGGCGAAGGCGGCCUUCUGGGGCAUUCCUGACACUGAGAAGCGAAAGCUAGGGGAGCAAACAGGAUUAGAAACCCUGGUAGUCCUAGCCGUAAACGAUGGAUGCUAGGUGUUGGUGGAUUUAACCCCAUCAGUGCCGAAGCUAACGCGUUAAACAUCCCGCCUGGGAAGUACGACCGCAAGGUUAAAACUCAAACGGAAUUGACGGGGACCCGCACAAGCAGCGGAGCGUGUGGUUUAAUUCGAUGCUACACGAAGAACCUUACCCAGGCUUGACAUAUAGGUGGUAGUGAACCGAAAGGGGAACGACCCGCAAGGGAGCCUAUACAGGUGUUGCAUGGCUGUCGUCAGCUCGUGUCGUGAGAUGUUGGCUUAAGUGCCCUAACGAGCGCAACCCUUGCUGCCAGUUACAAGUGUCUGGCGGGACUGCCGGCCACAAGCCGGAGGAAGGCGGGGAUGACGUCAAGUCAGCAUGGCCUUUAUGCCUGGGGCUACACACACGCUACAAUGGGACGGCACAAUGGGUAGCCAAGCCGCGAGGCGGAGCCAAUCCUCAAAACGUCCCUCAGUUCAGAUUGCAGGCUGCAACCCGCCUGCAUGAAGUCGGAGUUGCUAGUAACCGCGCGUCAGCCAUAGUGCGGUGAAUACGUUCCCGGGUCUUGUACACACCGCCCGUCACACUAUGGGAGCUGGCAACACCUGAAGCCGGCAGCCUGACCGCAAGGAGGGCACCGUCAAAGGUGGGGCUAGU